rnacentral:sRNA from 1 species
ACCCUAAUGAGCAAGAACCGAAGCUAAAAGGGGAAAAAGAAGUUAUCAAAGUAGAGUAAAAGAGAAAGAGAAUAAGCGUUAAGCUUAAAGUGUCUUGACAAGAGGUUAACUUGUCUGAAUUCAACGGUAGCUAGAAUCACUUCCGGCAACGGCGCCAAAAAC